UGUGUGGGUCACAUUUUGGAUCUGUGGUCCACACUGGCCGUGGCGCGAGCAAAAUUCUUGUUUAAGAAUGAACAGGAUCCAUUUGAGAAGAUACCAGAAAUUUAUAAACAAGAGAUACCGCGACUUGCAGUCACACGCUUCAGUGCAACAUUGAAAAAAAUGAAUGUUGAUUUGUUUUUGAGUAGAGUUGUCGAGGUCAUCACUUUAGUGCUGGCUCAUGAAGAAGACACAAGAAGUAAAUUGAGCCUCAGUGAGUACUUAUCAAUGGUUUUUGACGAUGGCUCCGACCUGGAAGAGGUUCCCAAUGAAGUAUGUGUAAUGCACGUGGUUCAUGCGUUCAAGCUCGCGGUAGAAUUGCGUGAGAAAGAUUAAGGAAGCAGAAGGUCCAUGUUGUCCUAGGGCGUUAAUUAUAUAAUAUGGGGAGUUCGAGAACCUUUCAAACUGUCGUUCAUUGGCCAGCUGAACUUCCAGAAAUUACGUUUCCAUGCCUUAUUAUACUUUCAAGUACUUUCCAAACUAUUUCCCAUGAUUUAUAUUCUUUUCAAAUAUUUUUCAUUUGACAUUCUGCAUGAGCUCAAAUAUA